UGGGGAAUAUUGGACAAUGGGCGAAAGCCUGAUCCAGCGACGCCGCGUGGGUGAAGAAGGCCUGCGGGUUGUAAAGCCCUUUCGGUAGGGACGAAAGCCUCCGACCUAACACGUCGGGGGGUUGACUUAACCUACAGAAGAAGCACCGGCUAACUCUGUGCCAGCAGCCGCGGUAAUACAGAGGGUGCGAGCGUUAAUCGGAAUUACUGGGCGUAAAGCGCACGUAGGCGGCUUGGUAUGUCGGGUGUGAAAUCCCCGGGCUCAACCUGGGAACUGCAUCCGAAACUGCCUUGCUCGAGUAUGGGAGAGGGAAGCGGAAUUUCCGGUGUAGCGGUGAAAUGCGUAGAUAUCGGGAAGGAACAUCAGUGGGCGAAGGCGGCUUCCUGGACCAAUACUGACGCUCAGGUGCGAAAGCGUGGGGAGCAAACAGGAUUAGAUACCCUGGUAGUCCACGCCCUAAACGAUGAGAACUGGAUGUCGGGAGGGUUUGCCGUUCCGGUGUCGUAGCUAACGCGUUAAGUU
rnacentral:rRNA from 1 species